GCCGGCAGCUAGCUCUCUGCAACUCUCACAUGGUCGCCCACUGAAACUAAGCAGGGCUGCGCCCGGUCAGUACCUGGAUGGGAGACCACUUGGGAAAGCUAGGUUGCUGCCGGAA
rnacentral:rRNA from 1 species